rnacentral:rRNA from 1 species
GACAGAGGGUGCAAACGUUGUUCGGAAUUACUGGGCGUAAAGCGCGUGUAGGCUGCCCCGAAAGUCAGGUGUGAAAGCCCUGGGCUCAACCCAGGAAGUGCACUUGAAACUUCGGUGGCUUGAGUCCUGGAGAGGAUGGCGGAAUUCUCGGUGUAGAGGUGAAAUUCGUAGAUAUCGAGAGGAACACCGGUGGCGAAGGCGGCUAUCUGGACCGACACUGACGCUGAGGAGCGAAAGCCAGGGGAGCAAACGGG